CCCUGGCCAGGGACAGACACCGCCCCCCGGCCAAUGGGAGCGCACCCGCCUCCCGGGCCUGGCCAAUGAGAGGAGGGGGUGGGUGGAGACAAGCGCCGGGAAAAACAAACAGGCUUCUCAAGGACCCUUCGGGCAGGGAGCCCCCGAGCCCCCGUCCACACCCCUCCCACGGUCUCACCUCCUUGGACACGUCUCGCCCCGACUUCACAGGGGAGACCCUCGCCCGCCUUGACCGCGCCUCGCCCUCAGGAACGGUUCAGCCAAUCGCCACCGCGAGGGGGCGGGGUUAGCCACGUCCCCGGCAGGUUCUGGGAUCCGUGGGGCCUGGGCCAGAUCCUGGGUGCGAGGUGCUUGUGCGCAUGCGGACUCCGAGAGCAGAUGGUGGCUGCACCUGCCCACGCACCAGCUGCAGCACAUUCUCCAACGCUCUCAGCAGCAAAGGGAGAGAGGGCAGGGGGCGGGGGGAGGCUAAGUGUAGGGAGCGGCGCACCUGCCUGCCUGCAGCAUCACUCACCAGAGUUCAUAUUUUACCUUACGUUGCCAAGAUGCCCUGUCCAGCAGUGAGGAACCCUAUAAUUCCCAAUCUCUGUGUCACUUUCAAGUGAGGAUUAAAGAUAGGCAUGAGUUUUCUACACACUCCCUUUUCACAUCUUUACAAUCUUUGCUCCUACGUGUUCCAGAUAAGGAAGAGGGCUGCUGAUCUCUACAUAAGACUUUCCCGAAGCAGCUAUGUCAGAGGUUUCCAAGACUAUCACCAGAUUCAGUGAUUUGCUAGAACCCACAGGGCUCAGAAGUUCUUGUACACAUAAUUAUGGCUUAUUACAGCAAAUGGACAAAAAGCAAAGUGAUUUUUUAUAAAGCAAAAUGAUUAAAGGAAAAUAGUACAUGGGGCAAAGUCUGAAGGAAUCCAGAUGUAAGCUCCCGAAAGUUCUCCCUCAGUAGAGGACAUGGUUAAUUUCCCUAGCAACAAGAUGAGGAAACCUGUUUGAAGUAUUGUCUACCAGUGAGGUCACCUGAGCCUACAACACCAAGGCUUUUAUUGGUGGUCCACCACGUAGGUAUAUAGCCAUUGCCUACAAGACCAGUUUCUGAGGCUCCAGAAACCCAGGAGAACAGGUGUUCACCAUAAAUCACAACGUUUGCACAUAUUCUCUAGAAAGACUGGUAUAACACCUCAGGGACACAGGCAUACAAAACAUUUAUAUUGUUUAGAAUCCAAAUAUUUUUUAACAACUUUGUUGAGCCAUAUCUCACAUACCACACUAUUCACCCAUUUAAAAUGUACAAUUCAUUGGUCUUUUCCUAUUCAGAGAUAUGUACAACCAUCUCCACGAUUUUAGAACAUUUUCAUUACUGGAACUGUGAUUUACAGUUCUGCACAUAGGAAGCUGAGAAGUCAACUCUCUGUCCUAACAACAAGUAAACAAGCUGAAUAGACUUAAAAAUCAACUCUUCUCAGAUCUUUAAGAGGGGGAAGACACAGGAAAAAUCACUGAUCCCAAGAUUGGAUAUAUAGAAAGGUGAAUGAAUAACAGGAGGGAGUCAUAGCUUACCUGGAGCAGACACUCACAAGCGGAAACACCUGUAGGAACCAGGCCUGAGAUGAAAAUUUGAACUGUACUUGUACUUGAAAACUUGAAUUUCUGGAGUCUCAGAGCAAGCAACUCUGGGGAUUAAAAACUCCAAGGGGAUCUAGUCAUAGAAGAAACUCCCACAAUACUGUUAGACUCACUUCUAGGAGCUCCAUCAGAUUCCCACAAUAAAUACUAUUAAAAAAAUUCCCUGGGGCUUACA
ensembl:lncRNA